rnacentral:lncRNA from 1 species
AUGACCUCGCUCUACAACGCAGCUUUGGAGUGUCCUGGAACAUUGCUUUGGACACUUUCACAUUCCAGGCCAUGGACGACAACAAACCUUUUCACCCGUAGAGGAGUGUUGCCUAUGGUAAACAGCCUGUAUGAUCCCCUCGGCUUCUUAGCCCCCGUCACAAUACAAGGCAGGCUGCUCCUCAGAGACCUCACCAAGCAAGCCGAGGACUGGGGCUCACCCCUCCCCGGAAACAGGGAAGCUGAGUGGACUAGGUGGAGAGACUCAUUAAAAGACCUACAGGAGCUUCAGAUACCCCGCACCUACACGUCUUUCUCUCCUUCUAGUACUCUCCUCAAGGAGCUUUGUGUCUUUGCGGACGCCUCUACUAUGGCCAUCGCUGCGGUAGCUUAUCUGAAAGCCACCACGGGACACACUGAGGUCGGUUUCAUCUUUGGAAAAGCCAAGCUGGCGCCUCAACCAGACCUCUCUAUCCCUAGACUGGAAUUGUGCGCAGCAGUGCUUGCAGUCGAGAUUGCGGAGUUGAUCGUGGGAGAGAUGGACCUGGAGGUCGACUGUAUCACAUACUACUCAGACAGCAAGGUAGUCCUUGGGUACAUUCCUAAUCAAGCAAGGCGGUUCUUCGUCUACGUGAACAACAGAGUUCAACGGAUACGACAGUCCACAUCCCCAGACCAAUGGAGGCAUGUGCCUACCGACCACAACCCAGCUGACCACGGGUCUAGGUCUAUCCAAGCGGCCCUCUCAAGCAGCACAACAUGGCCCUCCGGACCAGCCUUUAAUCGGAAUCCAUCCCCCCACCCUCUCAAACCCCAAGAGACAUUCGACCUUGUCAACCCCGCUUCCGACUCCGACUUACGCCCCGAGAUUGCUGUGAACCUCACCGUAGUCUCUCGACACCUUAUUGACCCCACACGCUUUGAGCGUUUCUCAAAAUGGACCUCUCUCACCACUACAGUCGCACGUUUGAUCAAUAUUGCCCAUUCUUUUGCCCUGCCGGCACAGAAGGGCACCUGCAGAGGAUGGCACAUCUGUCCAAGGGGCCCCUCAGAGGAGGAGAUGGAUAGAGCCAGGGUCUUCGUGAUGAAGAGCGUCCAGCAUGAGCUUUAUGCAGAAGAGCUGAAGAGCAUAGCCUCCGAACAAAGUCUCCCCCCUCGUAGCAGUCUGUUGAAGCUACACCCUUUCAUCGACAGCAAUGGGCUUCUCAGAGUCGGAGGCCGCAUAACUCAGUCUAAGCUAGCAACAGAAGAAACAAACCCCAUCAUCAUUCCGGGCCAUGAUACCAUGAGGCUGUGA